GUGUCCUUGGCGCAAGGGAGGCUGGGAUCGCGGAGGACCGCGCGCCGGUUGGAUCGACUGCAGCCAGCGCCUAGUGCAAGAUUAGGUACACGCAGCCGGCCGGCUUUGGCCGGGGUAGAAAUGGCCUGGACAACUGGGGCAUCGCGGCGCUCCUCGGACUCCUGCAGCUGCGUUUAAAAGCAGAGCCGACCCUUGAUCACCAUCUUUGACAAGCUAUACCUACUAAAAGAUGUGAAGUAGACACCUAUAUUCCAUGACUCAACUGUAAAGAGAACAGAAAGCUUCAGUCAUAGGAGAAAAAAAUAAAAUAAAACUGCUAUUAAAAUUGAAGGCCAAAUUUCAUGUAUUAUACAUUCAUGGUGGGUACGUAUGUUUAGUCUUCUAACAGAAGGAGGCUUGCCUGCAUACUAUGCUUCUCCUAGUUUCCUCAAUUGGAGAAGAAAAAAAUAAGGCGCAGGAAGAAGGGGUUGCAACAAAGCUGUAAGGUUUUGAUGUAAGUGAAAAGAUAUUCAUAAAGCAUCUGGGAAAGCACAUGCU